ncrna:unclassified sequences DTF805b RNA
UGGGAAGAUGCCGAAAAUCCUUAACAGAGUAGGCA